CCACGAAAUUCCAUUUAAUAAAAUUAGUUUCAGGACUCCAUUUAGGGUCCCAGGAUGUUGAUUUCUUUCCUUGGCUCUGGAAUCCUACACCUUCUUGCCUUGUAUCCACAUCAAGUUCUUUUAUUGUUUUAUUACAUUAGCAAAAGGGGAUAUCUAAGUCACCUUAAGGGUAGGAUGGAGUCUUGAUCUCAAUCAGCAUAUGUUAAGUUCACCUUAAGGGUAGGAUGGAGUCUCGAUCUCAGUCAGCAUCUCUAAGUGACCUUAAGGGUAGGAUGGAGUCUCGAUCUCAAUCAGCAUAUGUUAAGUUCAGGAGAAGUUUUUAUGAACUGUAAAAGAUGUAGUAUAUUUGAAGUUGAGAAAACUUCCUACCUUUGUUAAUACUGGACAAUGAUGGAUAAGUUCUGGGCACCUCCUUAAAAAGGUUACCUACAAGCUAUGAAGGACCACAAGAAGGUUUAAUGAUUUUACUGAACAAUAUUUAAUGAGUUUUCCUUGGUAGAGGACAGGAAAAUUUUGUUCGACAUCUGGAGAACAAGCUGUUCAUUGAAAUGCUUCUAUUGUUGGUUAUCUUUAUGAUCGAAGAGGCAAACAUCUGUUUUCUCUCUUAAAUGACAACCCAUUACUAUUGAAGUUUGGCGGACCUUGACAAUUGCAGAUGCGAAGGAUGUCAAAAUAAGGGAAAUUGUUGCUUGUGAAUGCAGAGCAAGCUUAAAAAACUAACCUUUGCGAUAACAUGGCUGGUUUUUGCCUUUGGAUGACACAGAAGACUUGUCAUGGCAUUCUAUAUAUCAAAGAUAAAUUUGAAAAAUGAUCUACUGCACCAACCUUAUACCCAAGGUCUUAUCAAUUUGUUUUAAAAAAUAACUUUUCUCUAAAAUAAUCUGUAUUUAGAUUCUCCAUGCUAUAUAUGACUUUUAUUAACCACCAGUUCCCAUGAUUUAGAAAUACUUAUUUGGAAUUUUCAGUUGAUUUACAUUUUCUCUCUCUGUUGAUGCAUUAGCGAAAUUCGCUUUGAUCUUAUUUUCAUUCUCUCUCUUACUUUGCAAAUACUUCCAGUUUGGAGGCAUAUAAGCUGUAUAAUGAAUAUGCAACAAGCAAAACGCAUGGCAAAAGUUGUGAUAAUAAGUUAAUUUAGGGGGGCUAUUUUCAUUAAUGUGAUGUUCAUUAAAAAGGUGGUAUAUGUGGUUUUCAUGGUUUUAAGCACUGAAAAAUUUGGAAAGAGCCUAGGCUCCUUUCUGAUAGUGCAGCCCUGAGAUCAACAGGAACAAAUCUGAAUCAAAGGCUGUUGCUUAACUCCACUCCAUCCUCAUAUGAUUUUACCCAGUAUAUUCUAAUAUAUAAGAUAGCAGUAUAGCUCAAUCACGAAGC
rnacentral:lncRNA from 1 species